GCAGAUCUUGGUGGUAGUAGCAAAAAUUCAAGCGAGAGCCUUGAGGACUGGAGUGGAGAAGGGUUCCAUGCGAACAGCGAUUGGACAUGGGUGAGUCGAUCCUAAGAGAUUGGGUAAUUCCGUGAGAGAAGCACUAAACUGGUGCUAUCCAUCGAAAGGGAAACGGGUUAAUAUUCCCGUACCAAGCAGCGGAGUUUGUGCGGUAACGCAAAUGAACUCGGAAACAUCGGCAAAGGCCCUGGGGAGAGUUCUCUUUUCUAUUUAACAGUUCCGACAGCCGUGGAAACGAGUUAUUCGGAGAAGCGGGGGCGCGACUGGCAGAACAGUGCCUUCGUGCAUUGUCCGGUGUGCUUUUGUCGAUCCUUGAAAAACCGAGGGAAAAUAAAACUCUCGUCCUUGAUCGUACCCAAAACCGCAUCAGGUCUCCAAGGUGA
rnacentral:rRNA from 1 species